CUUGUGAAAGCUGAGCUUUGAAAGAUAUGAAGAGACCAUGGAAUAAGGCACUGGAGUACACUUUCUUCUGGAUUGCCUGUUGUUGCCCAGGUAACUAAUAGUCAUGAUGGCUAAUGAAGAACCAAAUUACAAGCCCCUGGUGACAGAAGUGGGACCAAAAGAAACAUGCCAAGGUCUCAGAGGCCACUGAGAAACCAGAUGUCUGUAACCCACAGAGCACACUGAGUUCACGGCUUUCCUACUGACCCUGAAAUUUGAGGGUGUGUCUCUCUCUGCAUUUUGAGCUGUACGACUUUAGUGUGCAUACCUACAUUUUGUUAAUGAAGUCACCC